rnacentral:rRNA from 1 species
GGUCUCCGUAGGUGAACCUGCGGAGGGAUCAUUACACAAAUAUGAAGGCGGGCUGGAACCUCUCGGGGUUACAGCCUUGCUGAAUUAUUCACCCUUGUCUUUUGCGUACUUCUUGUUUCCUUGGUGGGUUCGCCCACCACUAGGACAAACAUAAACCUUUUGUAAUUGCAAUCAGCGUCAGUAACAAAUUAAUAAUUACAACUUUCAACAACGGAUCUCUUGGUUCUGGCAUCGAUGAAGAACGCAGCGAAAUGCGAUAAGUAGUGUGAAUUGCAGAAUUCGGUGAAUCAUCGAAUCUUUGAACGCACAUUGCGCCCUUUGGUAUUCCAAAGGGCAUGCCUGUUCGAGCGUCAUUUGUACCCUCAAGCUUUGCUUGGUGUUGGGCGUCUUGUCUCUAGCUUUGCUGGAGACUCGCCUUAAAGUAAUUGGCAGCCGGCCUACUGGUUUCGGAGCGCAGCACAAGUCGCACUCUCUAUCAGCAAAGGUCUAGCAUCCAUUAAGCCUUUUUUUCAACUUUUGACCUCGGAUCAGGUAGGGAUACCCGCUGAACUUAAGCA